rnacentral:misc_RNA from 1 species
CUAAAACUACAUCGUUUAAGUAAAUAAACCUAAACCCUCAGCAGCUCCUCUUUUCUCAUUCGGCCACUGAGUCACGCCGCAGCCCCCCUCCCUCAUCUAUUUUUCAUUUUCUCCCAAUUCCCUCACAGUCGCUGUCUUUGUCUUCCCGUCGGACAUCCUCACUGAGUCACGCCGCCGCCCCCGGCCAGGCCCCAGCUCCCUCUUAUAACUUUGUCUCCAUUCCCUCACUGUUACUGCCUUCGAAGCCGCAGUACAAGACAUCGUCGCCUGCCCUUAACCUCGCUGCAUCUCAUCGAAGCCGCAUCACUGAAGCUACUCGGCGGUGCUCCUCGCAGGUUGAUUCAAUAUGCCCAAAAAGAAUUCUUCAAAGGCAACUUUGCAAGCAGAAGAAUGUACUGUUGUAGAACCAGAAAAAGCCACUUCAACACUGAAGAAACCCAGCAAUGAGAUUGAUGAAAUCUUCUCUGGAAAGAAGAGGAAAAAACCUGAGAAACAAAAGAAUGAUAAGGCAAAUGAAACUGAAUCUGAUAAACCAAAAUCAUUGAAGAAGAAAAAGAAGAAGACUAAAGAAGAUAAAGAGGGAAGGUUUACAGACCCACCUUCUAGACAUCGAAAGAAAACCAAGGAUGGACUCAAUAUCUAUACUGAAGAGGAAUUAGGUAUUAACCACUCCAAUGCUGGAGGUACACCACUUUGCCCAUUUGAUUGUGAUUGUUGCUUUUGAUGAUUUUCAUCAAUGGAGCAGCUUCUUGGAUUGGAUGGGACAAUUUAGAUUUAAAUAUAGUUUUGUAAUUCUUAUUUUGAUUCUGGAAUUCUGGUUUGCAGAAAAUUUUGUUCAACUUUUUCCUUGUCUUGUUACAUGCUAGAAUUAGACUAAGUGGAAAUCAUUUAAUCAGUGUUACUUUAUAUAAUGUUUACUGGUGUGGGUUUGUUGGUUCUUAGUGUUUUAGAAACACUAACCACUAGCAAAUCCUUCUUCAUGAUUUCCGUCUCACUGAAGCAACUCAAGCGAGGCCAAUAUUAUGGUACAUUGAUGAUCAUAAUUAGUAAUGGAAAAGAUUGCAAAGGAGA